rnacentral:rRNA from 1 species
UACGUAGGGUGCGAGCGUUGUCCGGAAUUAUUGGGCGUAAAGGGCUCGUAGGCGGUUUGUCGCGUCGGGAGUGAAAACGCCGUGCUUAACACGGCGCCUGCUUUCGAUACGGGCAGACUAGAGGUAUGCAGGGGAGAACGGAAUUCCUGGUGUAGCGGUGAAAUGCGCAGAUAUCAGGAGGAACACCGGUGGCGAAGGCGGUUCUCUGGGCAUUACCUGACGCUGAGGAGCGAAAGUGUGGGGAGCGAACAGG